UACAGAGGGUGCAAGCGUUGUUCGGAAUCAUUGGGCGUAAAGGGCGCGUAGGCGGCCUCGUAAGUCGAAUGUGAAAGCCCAGGGCUCAACCUUGGAAGUGCAUCCGAAACUGCGAGGCUCGAAUCUCGGAGAGGGUGGUGGAAUUCCCAGUGUAGAGGUGAAAUUCGUAGAGUAUUGGGAGGAACACCGGUGGCGAAGGCGACCACCUGGACGAAGAGUUGACGCUGAGGCGCGAAAGCCGUGGG
rnacentral:rRNA from 1 species